CUGUUAUAGUUCUGUUAAUGCAAUAAAAUGUAAAAACAUUUUGAUAAACUAAAUAAACAAUAAUCAGUACACUAUUCAAAGCUGCCUCGCUCUGUAGUAAUACAAAGCAGGUCCGCACCAUGGCUAUAUGCGGGGAAGUCUGUAAUUUGCAGAUCAUCCGCAGGGAAGUUCUAAAAUUUUUUUUAGAACCCCUCAGAGACCACACGCCAUGCUCCAGCUGGUUUGUACCAGCUGGAUGAAGAUAUGGUCCUUCGUUAAAGAG
rnacentral:ncRNA from 1 species